rnacentral:rRNA from 1 species
UACGAAGGGGGCUAGCGUUGUUCGGAAUUACUGGGCGUAAAGCGCACGUAGGCGGAUUGUUAAGUCAGGGGUGAAAUCCCGGGGCUCAACCCCCGGAACUGCCUUUGAUACUGGCAUUCUCGAGUCCGGAAGAGGUGAGUGGAAUUCCGAGUGUAGAGGUGAAAAUUCGUAGAUAUUCGGAGGAACACCAGUGGCGAAGGCGGCUCACUGGUCCGGAACUGACGCUGAGGUGCGAAAGCGUGGGGAGCAAACAGG